UUUUUUUUUUUUCUUUACCUGGACUUAUACCUGUUUACCUGUCUACCUGUUCCUGCACCUACCUCUUGAUAUUUAAUGGACUGAGAAAAGAGCGAUAUCAGUCGUCUCAUCUGAGCCUUGGCACUACUCCAUGAACUGCUGCUGAGAUUUCUGCACAGCACAGAUGAUGGACCGGGGGAGACUUUUUGCAUUUUCGCCGGCACUCCCGCACUAAAAGAGACGCAACAGGAAACUGUUGAGUCAAGGGAUUUGUGAAGGACACAUUCUUGCUCCCUCAGCACUGAGAGGCCAUAAACAUAAUGAAGAUUUACAACUGAUGCUGCUGAUGGAUAUAUAUAAAACCAUCACUCUUCCACUGCCAAGACACAGAGCUCUCCUCCUUAGGGUACGGUUGAGUGAGAUGAUAGCUGUAUCUUGUACGCAGUGAUUUAUCUGGACCGAGCUGACAGCGUGAUAAUUGAUAAAGAAGCAAGCGGAGAGCACAGAGAUCAUCUGGUCUUUGCUUUUUCUUCUGGUGCACAAUGUCUUCCCAACCUUUUUUGUAGGAUGUACUCCUCACAGCUCAAGAAUCCCUUCAUCAACAGCACCAUUUAUUAUCCAAAUGUUUUCAUUUGAAUUAAUUUCUCACUUGUUAUUGAACUAUUAAUCAAAUAAAAACUGGUAUAAUAAUCAGGUGUAUGACCUAUAAAAGAUGGACGUUGUGUCUCCACUUCCUCCCACUGUACAA